rnacentral:rRNA from 1 species
AUUGAACGCUGGCGGCAUGCCUUACACAUGCAAGUCGAACGGCAGCACGGGGGCAACCCUGGUGGCGAGUGGCGAACGGGUGAGUAACACGUAGGAAUCUACCCUUAAGACGGGGACAACCCAGGGAAACUUGGGCUAAUACCGGAUGAGAGUGCGAGAGAUUGCAUUUAAAAGGAUGGCGAAAGUUGUCGCUUAGGGAUGAGCCUGCGGUCUAUUAGUUAGUUGGUGAGGUAACGGCUCACCAAGGCGACGAUCAGUAGCCGAUCUGAGAGGAUGACCGGCCACACUGGAACUGAGACACGGUCCAGACUCCUACGGGAGGCAGCAGUGGGGAAUAUUGCACAAUGGGGGAAACCCUGAUGCAGCAACGCCGCGUGGAGGAAGAAGGUCUUCGGAUUGUAAACUCCUGUCUUCUGGGACGAAUAAUGACGGUACCAGAGGAGGAAGCCACGGCUAACUACGUGCCAGCAGCCGCGGUAAGGCUACGUAGA